GGGCGUUGACAUAUACCGGAAGACGUGAGAGAUCACGUUGUCCCUUCGUGGACUGGUAGUACAGGUGGCUGCAUGGCUGUCGUCAGCUCGUGCUGUGAAGUGUUGGUUAAGUCCCGCAACGAGCGCAACCCUCGUUUCUAGUUACCAGCACGUAAUGGUGGGGACGUCUAGAGAGACUGCCGGUGACAAACCGGAGGAAGGUGGGGAGUGACGUCAAGUCAUCAUGGCCCUUAUGUCCUGGGCUACACACGUGCUACAAUGGCCGGUACAGAGCGCAGCGAUACCGCGAGGUGGAGCAAAUCGCAGAAAGCCGGUCUCAGUACGGAUUGGAGUCUGAAACCCGACUUCAUGAAGGUGGAAUCGCUAGUAAUCGCGCAUCAGCAUGGCGCGGUGAAUACGUUCCCGGGCCUU
rnacentral:rRNA from 1 species